rnacentral:tRNA from 1 species
GGAGGGGUGCCUGAGUGGCCGAAAGGAACAGUUUGCUAAACUGUCGUACUGGAAACGGUACCGCGGGUUCGAAUCCCGCCUCCUCCGCCA